rnacentral:lncRNA from 1 species
GGUUUUAAUAAUAUGGGUGGGGAACAGGAAAAAGGACAUGGGCAUGAUGUUCCCGUACAUAAUUUUUAAAAGCUGGGCCAGUUACACAGAUGUGGAAGUAAGAGACAGAGAACCCUAGUUACUGCUGCAAAGAAUAGGAUGUCAGGAGCAAUUGAGUGGUAAGAGAGAAAAUUAAUGUAGCCCCUCCAAGAAAGGGUAUCAGGGCACCCUCAUCUUAUUCCUUCAGAUAGGAGUUUCUAGCUCUUGGUGUUUACAGGAUAACUAACAACAAGUACUGCUUUUCUAAGGGUCUCAGGCACCAGUUCCACCCCAGAUGCAAAUGGGUUCAGGACUGACUUGCUAUUGCACUUGGCUCCUCAUACAGUUCUGAGACUUAUGUCCAGAGACCUCUACACAGCCUUCUAUUUGCUAAUAAAGAGAAAUAGACGAAUCAGGAGUUUUGCUGCUCUAUCCCCAAAUCUGCAUAGUUUCCCCAAAUCCCAUCAAAACAGAUUUCAAAAUAGCAAUCUAAUAUCUAAGAUUCUGUUAUCUUAGUUCUGCUUUUUUCACAGUCAACAUCAGAGAUGCUUUUUUCCCCCCAAGACAGAAUCGCCACCUUUGACUAUUCCUUCCUCAUUCACCCAAGGGAUCCAUAUCCCUUCCAUCCACUGUAUGGAAACAACAUACAGCUCCUGCUUUUCUCCAAGCUUGGCCUGACCUCUCCCACUCAUUCAUCCUGCUCUGGGCCCAGCGCUGAGCUCCUAUGAUUGGCUUGUAUUCUUACAAACAGGAAGCAUGAUACCCAGCAGAUUCUUAGCCUGUCUGAUCCUGCCCCAAUGCUUGGUAACCAAGUCCUGCUUUACUGAUUGUGGUCUAUUUUACCAUGCUUCCUGGUUCCUGAUCCUGGCUACAAACUGGUUUUUAAAAUAUUCCUAAUAAACUUUUGCUUUGAG